GGAGCAUUCAACAACUCAUGGCAAUGGUAUCACAGAUUUUGGUUCCCAUACCCUUGACAUGGAAUCUUGAGCGGCGUUGUUGUUGGUGCUGCGAUCGUUGUGUGUGGACAUGCAGUAGAUGACUUCCUCUUGUCAAUUUUUAGAUCAUUUCCCUCAUCUAAGAAUUUCACUACAACUUUCUUAGUUUCUUGGGCAACACAUAUUGGAUUAUUCCAAGCCACUCCAUCUAUUUCCGAGAUGUUGACAAUUUUCUAGUGGUGUGCCCGGGUGACCUAUCAUGGAACUCGCACCUUACUUUGGGAUGCAUUUUUCAGGAGUCACCAAAUAAUUCUAGACUAUCUUAGACAACAAUUGAUUAUAUGACAUGAGUAGUGGUAAAAAAUGAGGGAUCCCUUGGUUAGCACAAGGUCUCGCUUGUAUGUGAUUGUAACUAUGUAAUAGGUUCCUCGACCUUGGUUAAGAAAUGGGCGCUAACCAUUAGUUUCGAGGCAUUAGAUGAACUAUUUGGGGAUGAAACCCAUGAGGGACUCCAUAAAAUGGGUUGAUCAAAGGAAGAUGUAAGGCUGAAGGAAAUACAUGAAUAACAUUCCUAACAGCAGCAUUUUGUUGAAGCCAUAUGUCUCUUGCCAUAGUUGUUACAGUCUUUAGGAUCUGGUCAACCUUUCCCUACAUACGGUCCAUGUACUUCUUCAUCUUGACUUGAUCUUUCGUCAAAUGCUCCAUCGUAUUUUAGUAGUUAUCACGAGUGUCGAUACGUCAAACAAAUAUUUAUGGAUAAAAGGCUUAUGGUGAGUUGUUUCGUUGUGGAAUGUAUGAUGCGUGAAUGAAAAUUUUAUCCAUGCAAAUGAUUGUAAUACCUCAAAAUUUACCUUCCA